rnacentral:rRNA from 1 species
ACUCCUACGGGAGGCAGCAGUGGGGAAUAUUGGACAAUGGGGGAAACCCUGAUCCAGCAAUGCCGCGUGUGUGAAGAAGGCCUGAGGGUUGUAAAGCACUUUCAACUGUGAGGAUUGGGAUUUUGGUUAAUACCCGAGAUCCUUGACGUUAGCAGUAGAAGAAGCACCGGCUAACUCCGUGCCAGCAGCCGCGGUAAUACGGAGGGUGCAAGCGUUAAUCGGAAUUACUGGGCGUAAAGCGUCUGUAGGCGGCUUAUUAAGUCGGAUGUGAAAUCCCAGGGCUUAACCUUGGAACUGCAUUCGAUACUGGUAAGCUAGAGUGUGUAAGAGGGAUAGUGGAAUUCCAGGUGUAGCGGUGAAAUGCGUA